CACUAAGUGGGGAGUUAGCGGUGCCCUGUAUCUGCAAUCCGCUAUAGCAGGACUGAAUUCCUGUUCCUCGGUUAGUAAUUUCAAGGUCGGUGUUUGUAAGGAAUGUUGAUCGUCGGGUCCUGUGCAACCGUUGACUGUGAACCAUGUCAGGUCAGGAAUGAAGCAGCAUUAAGCGGAACCGAUGGUGUGCCGCAGGUUUGCCUGACAGUAGUCACCUGCAAAAUUACCACUUG
rnacentral:SRP_RNA from 1 species